rnacentral:lncRNA from 1 species
GGGUACCAUUGCUAGAUGAUCACUUCGAUUGGUACAAAAAUUUAUUUUUAUACUACUAGCUUAGGUUCAAACCUAUAAGGUCACACAUAUUAGAGUUCAUGAUCUGAUCGGAUGGUUGAUCAAUGAUUAAGAAUCAUUCUAGGGUUAAAUGAUCAAUACGAUUGACAUUUAAUCUAGUGCAAGUGUUACAGGAGGAUCGAUUAGCAAUUUGAUUGCUAAUUGACUUAAUUUGAUUAAG